rnacentral:rRNA from 1 species
GCGCUGGACCGUGUACAAGUCUCCUGGAACGGAGCGUCAUAGAGGGUGAGAAUCCCGUCUUUGACACGGACUACCAGUGCUCUGUGAUGCGCUCUCAAAGAGUCGAGUUGUUUGGGAAUGCAGCUCAAAAUGGGUGGUGAAUUCCAUCUAAAGCUAAAUAUUGGCGAGAGACCGAUAGCGAACAAGUACCGUGAGGGAAAGAUGAAAAGCACUUUGGAAAGAGAGUUAAACAGUACGUGAAAUUGUUGAAAGGGAAACACUUGAAGUCAGUCGCGUUCCUCGAGACUCAGCCUUGCCUUUCCGGCCUGGUGUACUUCUCGUUGAACGGGCCAGCAUCAAUUUUGAUCGUCGGAUAAAGGCGAGAGGAAGGUGGCACCAAUGAAAGUGAAAGUUGGGACCUCUGUCGUGGGGGGCACCGACGCCCGGACCAGACCUUCUGUGACGGAUCUGCGGUAGAGCGUGUAUGUUGGGACCCGAAAGAUGGUGAACUAUGCCUGAAUAGGGUGAAGCCAGAGGAAACUCUGGUGGAGGCUCGUAGCGAUUCUGACGUGCAAAUCGAUCGUCAA